UACGGGGGGGGCAAGCGUUGUUCGGAAUUACUGGGCGUAAAGGGCUCGUAGGCGGCCCACUAAGUCAGAUGUGAAAUCCCCAGGCUCAACCUGGGAACUGCAUCUGAUACUGGUGGGCUUGAAUUCGGGAGAGGGAUGCAGAAUUCCAGGUGUAGCGGUGAAAUGCGUAGAUAUCUGGAGGAGUACCGGUGGCGAAGGCGGCAUCCUGGACCGACAUUGACGCUGAGGAGCGAAAGCUAGGGGAGCAAACGGG
rnacentral:rRNA from 1 species